AAAUGAAGGAGAAACUUUGGUACCUUCCCAGUGAAACUUCCAGCCCCCUGUCACUGCCAGGACAAGGGUAAAUAGGAAUAUUUUCUCUCCCUGCAUCACCCACAGCACACCUCUUUUCUUAGCUAAGCAAGAGGCUUUUCCCUGGUGCCAGUGGAGUCACACUGCAGAAGAGUCACUGCUUUGUGGGACAGAUCAGUUUCUUUGUCUGCUUUGCACAAGUGUGAGGACACCAAGACACGGAGAUGGGAGUGGUCUUGCCCAAGGUCACACUGCAAACAAAUUGUCAUGGCAAGAGUCACUCAUCAGUUGCUGUGAGGAACAGCAGAGGAAAAUGUGGUCCAGCCUCAUAUGUUCCACUGUCAUCAUGGCACUGUGUUUCAGAUCCACUCUGUGUGCAGAUCGCAGUGGACAAUGGAGGCAAAGGAGGAGAAACGAAGAUGACUGAAGGACAAGUGACCAGGAAGCUAAAACCCUGAAGGAAUUUUCCUGAGUGAGUUUGUCCAAAGCAACAUUCACCACCUCAUUCAAUAUUUGCCUGCAAAAAAAAUGCCAAUUAUUAAGAGACAGUCCUGGCUGGGCAUCAAUAGGCAGCCAGGUGUGAGAAGUUGAAGAGAAAUACAUCUCAUUAAUGUGGAAUUGUUUUUAGGUUAAUAAUCUUGCGUUAAUUUUCCUUUAAAAUAUUGUCUUUGACCG